AGUGAACGCUGGCGGUAGGCCUAACACAUGCAGGUCGAACGGCAGCACAGUAAGAGCUUGCUCUUACGGGUGGCGAGUGGCGGACGGGUGAGGAAUACAUCGGAAUCUACUUUUUCGUGGGGGAUAACGUAGGGAAACUUACGCUAAUACCGCAUACGACCUACGGGUGAAAGCAGGGGAUCUUCGGACCUUGCGCGAUUGAAUGAGCCGAUGUCGGAUUAGCUAGUUGGCGGGGUAAAGGCCCACCAAGGCGACGAUCCGUAGCUGGUCUGAGAGGAUGAUCAGCCACACUGGAACUGAGACACGGUCCAGACUCCUACGGGAGGCAGCAGUGGGGAAUAUUGGACAAUGGGCGCAAGCCUGAUCCAGCCAUACCGCGUGGGUGAAGAAGGCCUUCGGUUGUAAAGCCCUUUUGUUGGGAAAGAAAAGCAGCAGGUUAAUACCCCGCUGUUCUGACGGUACCCAAAGAAUAAGCACCGGCUAACUUCGUG
rnacentral:rRNA from 1 species